rnacentral:rRNA from 1 species
AUUGAACGCUGGCGGCAGGCCUAACACAUGCAAGUCGAACGAGUGGCGGACGGGUGAGUAAUGUCUGGGAAACUGCCUGAUGGAGGGGGAUAACUACUGGACACAGUAGCCUAUACCGCUUCCCAUCGGUUGUGCCCAGAUGGGAUUAGCUCGUAGGUGGGGUAAAGGCUCACCUAGGCGCCGAUCCCUAGCUGGUCUGAGAGGCUGACCAGCCACACUGGGACUGAGACACGGUCCAGACUCCUACGGGAGGCAGCAGUGGGGAAUAUUGCACAAUGGGCGCAAGCCUGAUGCAGCCAUGCCGCGUGUAUGAAGAAGGCCUUCGGGUUGUAAAGUACUUUCAGCGGGGAGGCGUUACCCGCAGAAGAAGCACCGGCUAACUCCGUGCCAGCAGCCGCGGUAAUUC